GACGAACGCUGGCGGCGUGCUUAACACAUGCCAGUCGAACGGAAAGGCCCUGCUUUUGUGGGGUGCUCGAGUGGCGAACGGAUGAGUAACACGUGAGUAACCUGCCCUUGACUUUGGGAUAACUUCAGGAAACUGGGGCUAAUACCGGAUAGGAGCUCCUGCUGCAUGGUGGGGGUUGGAAAGUUUCGGCGGUUGGGGAUGGACUCGCGGCUUAUCAGCUUGUUGGUGGGGUAGUGGCUUACCAAGGCUUUGACGGGUAGCCGGCCUGAGAGGGUGACCGGCCACAUUGGGACUGAGAUACGGCCCAGACUCCUACGGGAGGCAGCAGUGGGGAAUAUUGCACAAUGGGCGGAAGCCUGAUGCAGCAACGCCGCGUGCGGGAUGACGGCCUUCGGGUUGUAAACCGCUUUCGCCUGUGACGAAGCGUGAGUGACGGUAAUGGGUAAAGAAGCACCGGCUAACUACGUG
rnacentral:rRNA from 1 species